UUAGCUAGCCUAGUCUAUAAAUAUUGUACAGAUCAAAUAAUUUGUGUUUAUUUUCAUAUAUCAAAUUACAGUUUCUCUUUUCUUCUCAAGUCUGUAACCUCCAUUGAUGAAGUUCAUCAUGGUAUCAUAGAUCUCGAUCUGAGCUUCCAUUUUUGUUCUAGACAUGCGUGCAACGAUCAAAGUAAUAAAGGUUGAGGUAUUUGUUCUCGUUGCAUAAAAUCGCAAUGUUUUUUGUUGAAGAUCUAGUAUGAAUCACUCUGGAGGAGGCUAUUUAGGUGGAGGACAACAGAUCACUCUAGGAGGAGGAACUCAGCUGAUGCCGCCAUAGUUCACUCAUGAGAAGUAGUUAUAAAUACUUCAGCUGUUAGGAAGGGAUCAUGCUUCUGAUAAUGAAGUGAGAGCAACAUGUGUCAUGUCUCCUAAUUCAUCUAAGACCACUGAUGAUAACUGGAUUAUGAAUUCUAGUGCAUCUAAUAAGCAUAUGUAAACAAUCUAGCAAUGUUAAGUAAUAUUAGGACUAUAGGUGCAUCUAAGACGGUAAAGUGCAUCUACCAAUAGACAAUUGGGUUAAAGUGAGUCAUUUAGGGCACUCUCAGGUGUUACAUGGUUCUAGGAUUAGUAUUGUAUUGCACAUUCCUGAGUUCAAGUAUGACUUUCUCUCUGUGUCAAAAUUAACCAAGGAACUCCAGUACUGUGCUAUGUUUUUACCUAGAUUUCUGCCAUAUCCAGGACCUCUACAUUGGAAAAUAAGGGGGACCAGGAGGCUUAAGAAUGAACUAUAUGUGUUGUAUGCAGAUUGCAAGGUGACAACAUAAGUUCUUUACAUUAGCGGUGGUGUAUCUGUUGCAGCUAGUGUAUUAAAAUCUAGCUUGAACUUGUAUUUUUGGCACAGGAAAUUAAUCGCAUUUCUAGUGAC